rnacentral:rRNA from 1 species
CGAGUGACCAUUCCCGAAAGGGAACUUCCGCAAGGACACUCGUAGAGGUGCUGCAUGGCUGUCGUCAGCUCGUGUCGUGAGAUGUUGGGGUUUAAGUCCCGCAACGAGCGCAACCUUGUCUGCUGUUGCCAUCACGUUAUGGUGGGCACUCUGCAGAGACUGCCGGUGAUAAACCGGAGGAAGGUGGGGAUGACGUCAAGUCAGCAUGGCCUUUAAUGUCUGGGGCUACACACGUGCUACAAUGGCCGAUACAAACCGUCGCAAAACCGCAAGGUGGAGCUAAUCGGAGAAAGUCGGUCUCAGUUCGGAUAGCAGGCUGCAACUCGCCUGCUUGAAGUUGGAAUCGCUAGUAAUCGCGGAUCAGCACGCCGCGGUGAAUACGUUCCCGGGCCUUGUACACACCGCCCGUCACAUCACGAAAGCCGGUUGUACUAGAAGUCGCCAUACCAACCCGCAAGGGAGGGAGGCGCCUAAGGUAUGGUCGGUGAUUGGGGUGAAGUCGUAACAAGGUAGGCGUAGAUGA